CCCUUAGAUGUCCUGGGCCGCACGCGCGCUACACUGAGUGUCUGAGAUACGAGUCUGCCUGGUCCGGCAAGGUCUAGGUAAUCGCUAAAAGACACAUCAUGCUUGGGAUAGAUUAUUGCAAAUAUUAAUCUUGAACGAGGAAUUCCUAGUAAGCGCAAGUCAACAGCUUGCGUUGAUUACGUCCCUGCCCUUUGUACACACCGCCCGUCGCUACUACUGAUUGGAUGUUUAAGCGAGGUUCUCGAACGGCUAGCGACUUAGCUUCGGUGAGGUCGCAGUGUGGGAAGUGAACCUAGCUUUGGUGUCUAGAGGAAGUAAAAGUCGUAACA
rnacentral:rRNA from 1 species